rnacentral:rRNA from 1 species
AGAGUUUGAUCCUGGCUCAGGACGAACGCUGGCGGCGUGCUUAAUACAUGCAAGUCUACGAGAAAAGAGCUUUCGGGUUCUUAGUAAAGUGGCGAACGGGUGAGUAACACGUAGGCAACCUGCCGACGGGAGGAGGAUAACCUUGCCAAAGCGGGGUUAAUACUUCAUAAUGCAGCGGAUCCGCAUGGAUAUGUUGUUAAAGUGGGGGAUCCUUCGGGACCUCAUGCCUGUUGAUGGGCCUGCGUUCCAUUAGUUUGUUGGUGAGGUAACGGCUCACCAAGGUUACGAUGGAUAGCCGGUCUGAGAGGGCGAUCGGCCACACUGGGAUUGAGAUACGGCCCAGACUCCUACGGGAGGCAGCAGUAGGGAAUAUUGCGCAAUGGCCUAACGGCUGACGCAGCAACGCCGCGUGACCGAUGAAGCUUUUUGGAGUGUAAAGGCCUGUUAGAGGGGACGAACGGUUCACACUCGAAUAGGAUGUGAAUGUGACGGUACCUUCAGAGAAAGCUCCGGCUAACUCCGUGCCAGCAGCCGCGGUAAUACGGGGGGAGCUAGCGUUGUCCGGAAUCACUGGGCGUAAAGAGCGCGUAGGCGGGAAGGUAAGUCUGAAGUGAAAUUUGUCGGCUUAACCGGCAAACUGCUUUGGAUACUGCCUUUCUUGAGUCAAGCAGGGGAAAGUGGAAUUCCUGGUGUAACGGUGAAAUGUGUAGAUAUCAGGAAGAACACCGGUAGCAAAGGCGGCUUUCUGGGCUUGUACUGACGCUGAGGCGCGAAAGCGUGGGGAGCAAACAGGAUUAGAUACCCUGGUAGUCCACGCCGUAAACGAUGAACACUAGGUGUUGGUGGUGUAAAAGCCAUCGGUGCCGACGCUAACGCAUUAAGUGUUCCGCCUGGGGAGUACGAUCGCAAGGUUGAAACUCAAAGGAAUUGACGGGGGCCCGCACAAGCGGUGGAGCAUGUGGUUUAAUUCGAUCUACGCGAAGAACCUUACCGGGGUUUGAAAUGCUGCUUACAUUCCUGGAAACAGGAUGCCCUUCGGGGGUGCAGUACAGGUGCUGCAUGGCUGUCGUCAGCUCGUGUCGUGAGAUGUUGGGUUAAGUCCCGCAACGAGCGCAACCCCUGUCCUUAGUUACCAUCAGUUCGGCUGGGGACUUUAAGGAGACUGCCGAUUGAAAGUCGGAGGAAGGUGGGGAUGACGUCAAGUCCUCAUGGCCCUUACAUCCCGGGCUACACACGUGCUACAAUGGCCGGUACAAAGGGUUGCAAUAUCGCGAGAUGGAGCUAAUCCCAUAAAACCGGUCUCAGUUCGGAUUGGAGUCUGCAACUCGACUCCAUGAAGUUGGAAUCGCUAGUAAUCGUGGAUCAGCACGCCACGGUGAAUACGUUCCCGGGCCUUGUACACACCGCCCGUCACGCCAUGGGAGUCGGUAGUACCCGAAGUCGCUAGGCUAACUUCGAGCAAUCGAGGAGGCAGGCGCCUAAGGUAAGAUUGGCGACUGGGGCGAAGUCGAACAAGGUA